rnacentral:rRNA from 1 species
GACGAACGCUGGCGGCGUGCCUAAUACAUGCAAGUGGAACGCUUUUGCAUGGUACUUGUACCAAGUAAAAGAGUCGCGAACGGGUGAGUAACGCGUGGGGAAUCUGCCUAGGAGCGGGGGACAACAUCUGGAAACGGGUGCUAAUACCGCAUAAUAGCAUUAGAGACAUCUCUGAUGUUUGAAAGGAACAAUUGUUUCACUCCUAGAUGAUCCCGCGUUGUAUUAGCUAGUUGGUGGGGUAAAGGCCUACCAAGGCGAUGAUACAUAGCCGACCUGAGAGGGUGAUCGGCCACAUUGGGACUGAGACACGGCCCAAACUCCUACGGGAGGCAGCAGUAGGGAAUCUUCGGCAAUGGACGAAAGUCUGACCGAGCAACGCCGCGUGAGUGAAGAAGGUUUUCGGAUCGUAAAACUCUGUUGUUGUUAAAGAACGUGUGUGAGAGUGGAAAAGUUCACACAGUGACGGUAAACAACCAGAAAGGACGCUAACUACGUGCCAACAGCCGCGGUAAUACGUAGUCCGAGCGUUGUCCGGAUUUAUUGGGCGUAAAGCGAGCGCAGGUGGUUUAAUAAGUCUGAUGUAAAAGGCUACUGCUCAACAGUAGUAUGCAUUGGAAACUGUUAGACUUGAGUGCAGGAGAGGAGAGUGGAAUUCCAUGUGUAGCGGUGAAAUGCGUAGAUAUAUGGAGGAACACCGGAGGCGAAAGCGGCUCUCUGGCCUGUAACUGACACUGAGGCUCGAAAGCGUGGGGAGCAAACAGGAUUAGAUACCCUGGUAGUCCACGCCGUAAACGAUGAGUGCUAGAUGUGGGGAUCUAUAAGAUUUCCGUAUCGCAGCUAACGCAAUAAGCACUCCGCCUGGGGAGUACGACCGCAAGGUUGAAACUCAAAGGAAUUGACGGGGGCCCGCACAAGCGGUGGAGCAUGUGGUUUAAUUCGAAGCAACGCGAAGAACCUUACCAGGUCUUGACAUACUGAUGCUAUUCUUAGAGAUAAGAAGUUCCUUCGGGACAUUGGAUACAGGUGGUGCAUGGUUGUCGUCAGCUCGUGUCGUGAGAUGUUGGGUUAAGUCCCGCAACGAGCGCAACCCCUAUUGUUAGUUGCCAUCAUUAAGUUGGGCACUCUAACGAGACUGCCGGUGAUAAACCGGAGGAAGGUGGGGAUGACGUCAAAUCAUCAUGCCCCUUAUGACCUGGGCUACACACGUGCUACAAUGGUUGGUACAACGAGUCGCAACACAGCAAUGUGAAGCUAAUCUCUUAAAACCAAUCUCAGUUCGGAUUGUAGGCUGCAACUCGCCUACAUGAAGUCGGAAUCGCUAGUAAUCGCGGAUCAGCACGCCGCGGUGAAUACGUUCCCGGGCCUUGUACACACCGCCCGUCACACCAUGGGAGUUGGGAGUACCCGAAGUUGGUUGCCUAACCGCAAGGAGGGCGCUACCUAAGGUAAGACCGAUGACUGGGGUG